rnacentral:rRNA from 1 species
UAACGCGUGGGUAACCUGCCAUAUACAGGGGGAUAACAGCGAGAAAUUGCUGCUAAAACUGCAUAAGCGCACGGAGUCGCAUGACUCAGUGUGAAAAACUCCGGUGGUAUAUGAUGGACCCGCGUCUGAUUAGCCAGUUGGCAGGGUAACGGCCUACCAAAGCGACGAUCAGUAGCCGGCCUGAGAGGGUGGACGGCCACAUUGGGACUGAGACACGGCCCAAACUCCUACGGGAGGCAGCAG